GAGGGUAUAGCUCAAGUGGUAGAGCACAUGCUUAGCAUGCACAAGGUCCUGGGUUCAAUUCCCAGUACCUCCU
rnacentral:tRNA from 1 species